rnacentral:rRNA from 1 species
UACAUGGGGUGCAAACGUUGCUCGGAAUUAUUGGGCGUAAAGCGCACGUAGGUGGUCUGUUAUGUCAGAUGUGAAAGCCCUCGGCUUAACUGAGGAAGUGCACCUGAAACUGGCAGGCUUGAGUACGAAAGAGGGUCGCGGAAUUCCCGGUGUAGAGGUGAAAUUCGUAGAUAUCGGGAGGAACACCGGUGGCGAAGGCGGCUCUCUGGUCCAUGUCUGACGCUGAGGUACGAAAGCUAGGGGAGCAAACGGG